UACGAAGGUCCCAAGCGUUAUCCGGAUUUCUUGGGUUUAAAGGGUGCGUAGGCGGGCUAUUAAGUCAGUGGUGAAAGCCCCAAGCUUAACUUGGGAACUGCCAUUGAUACUGAUGGUCUUGAGUACAUUUGAGGUGGGCGGAAUGUGUCAUGUAGCGGUGAAAUGCUUAGAUAUGACACAGAACACCGAUUGCGAAGGCAGCUCACUAAACUGUAACUGACGCUGAGGCACGAAAGCGUGGGGAGCAAACAGG
rnacentral:rRNA from 1 species